rnacentral:lncRNA from 9 species
CCUACUGGUCCAGUCCAGGAGAGGACGGAGGAGGGAUGGACUGGCUCUGCUGCAUCCCGCUCUCCCGAGGCCGAGGCCGAGGCCGAGGCCGCAGGCGUCGUCACGGCAGAGAUGGCCUCUGCCAGGCCUGCAGAACCUGGAUGAGAACGCGAGGCGGACGCCUAUGGGCCGUUGCCCGCAGGGACCCAGAGAGUCCCCCACCCGAGACCCGCCAGGAACAGGGUGAGGAAGGCAGAAGGCCACCCGAGGAACCUCCACACAGACUGCUCCCCGGGGUCCUCUGCCGGGCUGGUGGGGAGCGCAGGAACGCCAGCUGUGGCCAUGAAGACACCGUCCACAUGAGCCUGACAACCCUGGAAGGCCUGGCCCCUCCUGAGGCCCAGCCUGAAGCAGGAGACCUGGAAUCCGAGGCCAAGACGCCAGCCGAGCAGAAAGACCCUGGAACAGCCCCCAGAGGAGGUCCAGAACCACAGGAGGACUCAGCACCUGGGCAGGGAGGAAAUGUAGCUCCUUCAGAGGGACACUCCUGUCCACAUGGGGACUCACCUCCCGGGGAGAAUGAACACUCUGCUCCUCUCCCAAUAGGCCAAGCUCCUCUUGAGGAGUCACCACCCGGGCAGGGUGGAAACAAGGUGCCUCCUGCAGGGGGACCAGGCCCCCAUGAAGACUCAACUCAUGGGCAGGAUCAACCUGCUGCUCCUCCUGAAGGCAGACCAGAGCCUCCUGGGGUCUCACCUCCCGGGCAGGAUGAAAAUCCGGCUCCACCUACAGGAGGACGAGGCCCUCUGGAGGACUCAGCAGCCUUACAGGAUGAAAAUCUGGCUCCUCCUCCUGGAGGACGAGGCUCUCAGGAGAACUCAGCAGCCACGCAGGAUGAAAAUCCUGCUCCUCCUACAGGAGGACGAGGCUCUCAGGAGGACUCACUAGCCGGGAGGGAUGAAAAUCCUGCUCCUCCUGCUGGAGGACGAGGCUCUCAUGAGGCCUCACCAGCCUGGAAGGAUGAAAAACCUCCUCCUCCUGGAGGACCAGGCUCUCAGGAGGACGCACUAGCUGGCCGGGAGGAAAAUGCUUCUCCUCCUCCUGGAGGACAAGGCUCUCAGGUGGACUCACCAGCCAGGCAGAAUGAAAAUCCUGCUCCUCCUCCUGGAGGCCAAGGCUCUCAGAAGGACUCCUCAGCCGGGAAGGAUGAAAAUCUGGUAGAUCCUCCUGGAGGACGAGGCUCUCAGGAUGUCUCACCAGCCAGGCAGGAUGAACAUUCUGCUCCUCCUACAGGAGGACAAGGCUCUCAUGAGGACUCACCAGCCGGACCCAAUGAAAAUCCUGCUCCUCCUCCUGGAGGACAAGGAUCUCAGGUGGACCCACCCGCCAGGCAGGAUGAAAAUCCUGCUCCUCCUCCUGGAUUACGAGGCUCUCAUGACGAGCCAACAGCCGUGCAGGAUGAAAAACCUGCUCCUCCUCCUGGAGGACAAGGCUCUCAGGUGGAUUCACCAGCCAGGCAGGAUGUUAAUCCUGCUCCACCUCCUGGAGGACGAGGCUCUCAUGAGGACUCAGAAGCCAGGCAGGAUGAACAUCCUGCUCUUCCUCCUGGAAGACCAGACUCUCCGGAGGACUCACGAGCCGGGAAGGAUGAAAAUCUAGUUCCUCCUCCUGGAGGACGAGGCUCUCAUGAUGUCUCUACAGCCGGGCAGGUUGAACAUCUUGCUCCUCCUACAGGAGGGCGAGGCACUCAUGAAGACUCCCCAGCGGGGCAGAUUGAAUAUCCUGCUCCUCCUCCAAGAAGACGAGGCGCUCAUGAUAUCUUACCAGCCGGGCAGGAUGAACAUGCUGCUCCUCCUACAGGAGGACGAGGCUCUCAGGAGAACUCUCCAGUCGGGCAGGAUGAAAACACGGCUCCUCCAACAGGAGGACGAUGCUCUCAUUCAUACACACCAGCCCAGCAGGAUGAAUAUCCUGCUCCUCCUACAGGAGGACGAGGCUCUCAGGAGGACUCCCCAGCUGGGCAGGUUGAAAAUCCUGGUGCUCCUCCUGGAGGACGAGGCCCUCAGGAGGACUCACGGGACGGGAAGGAUGAAAAUCCUGCUCCUCCUCCUGGAGGGCGAGGCUCUCAGGAGGACUUACUAGCUGAGCCGGAUGAAAAACCUGCUCCUCCUCCUGGAAGACCAGACUCUCAGGAGGACUCACCAGCUGGG